rnacentral:rRNA from 1 species
AGGACGAACGCUGGCGGCGUGCUUAACACAUGCAAGUCGAGCGGAAAGGCCCUUCGGGGUACUCGAGCGGCGAACGGGUGAGUAACACGUGAGUAAUCUGCCUUCAGCUCUGGGAUAGCUCCGGGAAAACCGGGAUUAAUACCGGAUAUGACCACUUCGGACAUCUGUUGUGGUGGAAAGUUUUUCGGCUGGAGAUGAGCUCGCGGCCUAUCAGCUUGUUGGUGGGGUAAAGGCCUACCAAGGCGACGACGGGUAGCCGGCCUGAGAGGGCGACCGGCCACACUGGGACUGAGACACGGCCCAGACUCCUACGGGAGGCAGCAGUGGGGAAUAUUGCGCAAUGGGCGGAAGCCUGACGCAGCGACGCCGCGUGGGGAUGAAGGCCUUCGGUUGUAACCCUUUCAGCAGGGACGAAGCGCAAGUGACGGUACCUGCAGAAGAAGCGCCGGCUAACUACGUGCCAGCAGCCGC